rnacentral:rRNA from 1 species
UGGGGAAUAUUGCACAAUGGGGGGAACCCUGAUGCAGCGACGCCGCGUGAGCGAAGAAGUAUUUCGGUAUGUAAAGCUCUAUCAGCAGGGAAGAAGAAUGACGGUACCUGAGUAAGAAGCACCGGCUAAAUACGUGCCAGCAGCCGCGGUAAUACGUAUGGUGCAAGCGUUAUCCGGAUUUACUGGGUGUAAAGGGAGCGCAGGCGGCGCGUUAAGUCUGAUGUGAAAACCCGAGGCUCAACCACGGGAGUGCAUUGGAAACUGGCGUGCUGGAGUGCCGGAGAGGUAAGCGGAAUUCCUAGUGUAGCGGUGAAAUGCGUAGAUAUUAGGAGGAACACCAGUGGCGAAGGCGGCUUACUGGACGGCAACUGACGCUGAGGCUCGAAAGCGUGGGGAGCAAACAGG